GGCUGGAAACCCAAAUGGAGACUAGGCCAUCACGUCUUAUAUACAUAUGAUACAUUUCACAUAGAAUUACAUGAGUACUUUAAAACCACGUAGAAGACCUAUGAGGUACAAAAUUUUCAUUAUCAUUAUCGUCUCUCUGUGUAGAGUCUUCAGUGUAUUGUGAAUAAUAGUUAUUAAAUGAUAUCUCACCUUUGUAGUUUUAUAUGUAUUGAAAUAAGAAGUGUAGGUUAAAAAAAGUUUUUUUUUUUUUUAUUGGAGUGUAGGUAAAAAAUUAGUUGGGGAUUAGACAUUUACCUUAAUUUUUUUACUUUUCAGAUUACGGAAAAAAAAACUAAUAUAUAUUAUAAAGAUAGCACAAUAUAUAAGUUGGAUGGUUAGUUGGGUUGGUUAAGGUGUUAAAAUUUAGCAUUUUGCGUGGUCAAACUGUCAAAGUCAAAGAGUCAGAGUUCGGCACAUGGGGGUGACAGUCAAAGAGUCAGAGUUCGGCACAUGGGGGAGGUUUGGGCGGGAAAGUAGAAAACUUGAUUUCAGUGGGAAACGCGGUGAGAUUUCAAAGUUUCGGGAAAAUAUCGAAAAUUUCAGACGAAAAAUUUUGGGAAGAGAAAGAUAUUUUGCCUGGUGUCUGGUGAUAAAAAUGAAAUUUUCGGCGAUAUCACCGAAAAUAUCGAUUUUUUCUUCCUUGCUUACAUCGACCUUUAUACCUGUAACAAUCCGUGAAAUUUUGAAGAAGGGUUUAAGGAGUAACCAUGAAUUCAUGAUAUCUAUAAAAUCGAGAAUUUCUUUUAUAAAAUUAUUUAAAAUUUUUAACCUACCUCUUUAAAAAAAAUUUAUUGAAAUAUCUUAAACCACCUCAUUCGUGCAUACGUCAAUGAGAUUUGAACUCAUUAUUUGUAAUAUUAAUUAGGCUAUCUAAGGGUUCUCUAACGACUUAUAACUCACCGAUUGUAAAAUAGAGAAUAUGGUUUAAGUUUGUUUUUAUCUAAAGAUAGUGGUUACGAUAACUUGUCACUUACCGGUCUUCAAAAAAACACUACUGUGGUGAUUUUUUUUAAAGAUCAUUACCCAACUAGCACCUUACACUUAAAGUUCGUACUGACAUACUGAUGUAGCCACAUCAACGCAACUUUAAACAAAGUAACGAUUGACUACGUUUUAAAGCAUCCUUUGCAAAACGGUGGGCAACUUAAUUGUCUUCCCAUCUCACAAAGCAGUUCCUUCAAUUAGGAAAAGACUAAAUUAAAGACUUGAGACAUCUCCAACAAUUGUCCUAUAAUCUAUACCUAAAUUUAAAAUUUGACUCACCCAAACCUAUUUUUUUUAUAUGGGUUUUGCAUCUCCAACCCUUAUUGCCAAAAGACUCAAAACCUAAACCAAAUCAUGUGAGAACUCCUCAAUUGAUGAAUGUGAAAUUUAGGAUUCCUUCUAUAAAGUUGGGUCAAAAUAAGAUCUUUUUUAGGUUUAAAUCUAUUUUGGCUCAACCAAACACCAUACGUUAAUCUACUCUGCAAAAACAAGAGUCCCUUCUCUAGGGUUUCAAAACUUUUGCAAACCUUCCGUCCGACGGCGCGUCUGAUAGCGACGUCGUCGGACAUGAUUUGAGGGCAGCCAUCUCGUGGUCUUGUUGCAUAGGUUGGCAGUGGAAGCAGGGAGUUAGGUUGAUGGUAACAGCGGUUCAGACGUUGUUGGCAUGAUUGGGUGCAGAGCAAACUGUUUCGGCAUGGAAGUAUAGUCGUCGGGAGAUGCAGUGAUGCGAGGUUGGAGUGGCGGUGAGGACGUAUUAGUGUAGGUCUGACCGGAUCGAUCUAAUCAGGUUUAGACCUCGUUGAUGCGUUUUCGGUUCAUAUCUAGAAGGGAGGGAGUUGUUGUGUUGCUUUGUUGUGGUGACGCCGUGGUGCUUUGCUUCAGUGACACCGCGUUGCUUUGCUGCGGUGGAGCUAGCUCUUGACGGUGUUUCGACUUUGGUGGUGAGGCGACACUUCAUGGUCAGGUUGUGCCAAGUGGUUUUUUUGGGUUGUUGGGCUUGGGUCUAUGUUGGACCGAGGUCCAAUGGGUUAUUCUUUUUUCUUUUUUGUUUUGUUUUUUUGUUUUUAGAUUGGUUUAGUCGUCCCUCCUCAUUUUUGAGCGAGGGUUUAGGCCUCCUCUUUGAGCCAGGACUUGUGAUUUUAGUAGGUUGGUGUCGGGGUCGUGUCAUUGGGUGUGUCAUAAUUAUUAUAUCAAUCGUUUCCAAGGACUAUUUUAAUGUCAGUGAGUUCUUGUUGUCAAUGUAACUGGGAGGUUACGUACAUGUGCAUAUAUGUCUGUAAUUUUGGUAUAUAGUGUUUAAAAUGGUUGUUUCUUCUUGAGGUUAACUAUGAGGAUGUAUCGAGGCUUUUAAAUUAGAUUAGGUUACGGUUGAACCUUUUUUCGGUUCUUGUCCACUGUAAUCGCUAGUUAUAACGUUGGAUUAAUUAUUAUAGAAAUUUUCCUUUAACAAAAAAAACAAACAAACAAACAAACAAACUUAUUUUGGCUCAAGUUGUAUUUGGGUUGGAGAUGCAAAAUUGAAAAACCUAAACCUGAUUAAUCACCGAAAGAGUGUCUCCUAGCCUUCGGCUUCGGGUAUUUCAAUGUUGGAGAAGCCUGCAUGUGCUGCAAAUCGAAGUCCAUCAAGCAGUGCUAGAGCCUUCUUGCAGGUAAGCUGUCCAUCCCCCAUGGUCUCUAAAAAUAAUUCCCAUUCCACAUACACCAGUUGAGCAACAAUUGUUGGAGUAUGAGCAAAAAAUGAAUAAACACCCACCCCGAAAUAGAUCACCGCCGGUGGCCUGGUCACAGGAAAGUAUUGGUAAAUCGAGAUUUCACUCUGACUCUCUGAGGCUUUCAGCAGCAACCCAAGUGCCUUAAGUCCUUGCCACCCAUUUCUCCUACUUGAUUAUCUUCUAUUACCUAACUAUACAUCCUAUACGCAUCAAAUGUGGGUAUAAUAGGUACAUAAUCGAUUGAGAACACUGCAGAUUUAGCUAGUGGGAUGCAGCUAGCACUUUACCACUUAUGAUUUCUCCACGCAAUGAAGGAGAUCCAAAUUUACAAUCAAGUCGAUCGAUCCAUGGUAUAUAUAGAAGUGGAGCCGAUCAGAUUCCACUUCUCACACAAAUGACUAUUAUUCCUCAAAGCUGAAGAUCACACAUGGUAAUUAGGAGGUUUUUUUUCCCCCUUUCUAAAGUGAAUGAACAUUACCACUCAAAAAUUUUGUGUUGUUUAGAUGUAUGAUCAUUAGUUAGACGACACCUCUUUCUUAAUUAUAUAAUCAUUACAGAAGGGUCGGGAAAGACAUGGAUCAAUCUAUCCCAGUCACUUUCAGCAACCAGUGCAGGAUUCCUUAUCUGCUUAUCUCCAUUAAUCAGCAGGUGGGACACAACCAGCGACCUAGCUUGCAUCAAAACAUGAUCGAUCAUAUAUAGUCGAUCAUCAAACACAGAGAAGCGAUCCAGCUACUCUUCAAAACUGGGAAGCUAACUACAUAUAUACAGCUCCUCGAUCUAUAUUGCUCUUACAUCUAUGUGGGAUUCGAAAAUAUAAUCCAUCGCUUUAAUUUGCUCGAUCUUUGUCAAGAAUAAACUUGAUUCGUGUAAUGUUGUUAGUUGUUACAUGUAUAUGUAUACCCGAGCUUCCAUAUUCCUCGCAAAUGAUUCGAUCAUUCUACUCGAUCGAGCUAAUAGAUCACACAUGGUAGGAGGCUCGCUAGCAAACUCUAGAAGCAUCAAAACCUUAAAAAACAACUCUCAAUUAAUUAAUCUACGACGUACCCAGAAAUUUAAUAUCUCCUUCACUUGGAAUCAAAUCUCAAAUCACUCAACUCUUUGAAUGAAUAUUAUUUGUAGACUAAUAAAUCAAGAGGGGACAAGGGAAUCUCAUCGUCACCCUCUUUUUGAAUGCUACAUGAGUGGACUCAAAAAUCACUAUGAGCGAGGUUCUCUAUCAAACAUCUCUGUUCAUCAAAAUUGAUUUGUUUUUUGUUCGAUUAGAUUUAAAUAUACGUGCACCUUCAUGCACCAAUACCAUUACCAGCUGUCGUACAUAUUAUUAUAGGGAUGGAAUACAGAUAUUCCUCAUUUUAUUAUGGCUCACUUCGAUCGAUCUAGCUCCCAUCCCAUCUCAUGUGUGCUAAUCAAUUAAUUUGUUUGUGCAUUAUAUUCAUCUGAUUGAUGAGAACCUCAAUUGUCUGUUCGUCAUUGAUAAUUUGAUACCAAAAUGGUCCCAGAAUUGCUUCCAAGAAUUUCUCUAUUGCAAUUGGUAUGCUUUUUGGAAUUAUACGGGAGGAUGUUCGAGUUUUGAUACGAUCGAAAGCACCAGUAAUUCGACCUUGAAUUCUUAUCGUCCCCAGCAGCCAUAUAUCCUCGAUCGAUCGAAUCUGGUCAAAAUAGCAAACAACCAUCAUAUGUACAUGCAUCACUAGUUAGUAAUGGUCCCUCAUGGCCCAUAAUAUGUGAUAACAUAUAGACUAAAAUAAACAAAUAUUGCCUUUACAAAAAAAAAAAAAAAUUAAGAAUAACAUCUUGAUUUUUUGAUAAACUUGGAGGCAAUCUCAGCUAGAUUGAGUUAGAUUAGAAAUGCCAACGUUCCAAUGUAUGACAAUAGAGUACUCAUGCUUUGGUGCAUCAUGAACAGCACACAUGAUUUGUGCUAGUUCUGAAAACUCUAAGCCAAAAUGAUAUUAUAGUUUGCUCGAUCAUCCGAGAAUGACUAAAACUUAGUUGAAGACUAGAAAAGCUGAAAAGGUUCGAGUAUAGAACUUACGAAAGAUGCUUCAAAUCGACAGCUAGAUCUUCAUCUUCCCUAUCAUCCUCCUGCUUGUUUCGUUUUAGCAUCACAAACCUGCAAACAAGGCCAAAGAACGAAUUACACCUAAAAAAAAUUAAUCAAGAUAAGCACGUAAAUAUAGAGAAAACAACAAAGACUGAAAUUGUAGGACUCAGACCGACGGAAAGACCGGAAAGAGAUGAGGAUCAGAUCAGAGUUUGCAUGCUCGGCGCCCAUAAUACAUUGACACAUUACAGAGGCACAGUACGUUAAACGGUGACACAUCACAUAGAUCAAAACUACGUGGCAAAUAUAUACAGGUGAUCUGACACAACCGGCUGUUACGCUUACGCAUUCAGCACAGAUUACAAUGUACAACGAACAACGUCGUUAACGGACUCUAUCUAACCACCGGGAAACGACGCCGUUGUUCAAUACUGGCCGGAAUUAGAGGACCAGAAGGAAGAGGAUAGAACCAGAACAUAGAUAUAUAAAAAGCACUCACCAAAUCACAAAAAAUGAGGAACUUGGAGUAGUACAGAAAAUUCAUUAAUCGCCACGGGUAAAAAUAGGCAACCCUUCUGAACGAUUACAUCAUGUAAUAUAUAUACUCGAUCUGUUUCAUUGUUUUUUUUUUUUUGGGAUUUUUUAGGCUUUGGUGUUGGAUGUCGGCAAUGGCAUAUGGGAUUUAGACCGGCCGACUAGUCUCAGUGAUUCAAGGUGUUGACGCUGCCUUGCAUUUGGUGUGUUAUUGCCAGUGGUUUCCGUUGUGGACGAGAUAGAGACGGCUAGGGUUUCUAUGAGUGUGGUAAUUAUCACAGUGAGGAGCUUUCCCAGCUGGAGCUCGCUGAAACGGCGCCGAAUGCGAAACUUGACGGAGGCAACGCUCCGCCGGCAAAGGCAGGGAGAAUCUGGGAGUGGAUCCGGAGGCACAGGUUGUACUGUGAUUGGAAGACGAGGAUUUCGAGGAAGAGGCCGAGGAAGACGGAGGAGACGACGUAGUUUUGUUGACGGGGAGCGAAAGGAAGGCCCUGAUCUUCAACGGCGUGGCGGCCGCCGCAGCUCUGUCGUACUCCUCGAUGAGAUUGGCGAGGUCUUCGUCGCACUUUAUGGAGAUAAGGGCGUCGAGGUCUUCGGUUGGCAGUUGGCAACGGAGACCGACGGUUGUGCCACACAGCUCUCCGAGCUUCAACAAUAGCUCUGUAAAUGACCAAAAAAACCCUCAUGAGCUCAGUUUUACCACGAAUAUAUACGUAAAAUCAAUGAUAUGAUAACUGAUCAUAAUCUCUUCUAAACAGUGAACACACUGACAUGUUACGUGUGAACAAACGAAAAAGGGAAUAGCGGAGGUGGAACUGACCAGAGAAGGAAAUGGAGCGGUGGACGGCAAGGACGCGGGUUUCGCCGCCGAGAUAACGGAGCUUGCCGUCGGGGUAACGGGGGAGGAUUUUGCCGCUGUAGCUGCAGAGGAAUUUGAGAGCGAGUUUGGUGGGAUCAGCUGAAGGUCCGACCAUGUUGGCUUUAACUUUAGGGGUUUCGAGUAAAAGAAAAGGAGGGAGGAGUGGGGAUUUGAGAAGAGGAGGAGGGAGGAGAAGGUUGUAGGCUAGACUUGGAGUUGUGUGUUCAAGCCUAUGUAUGGAACCCUUUGGACCUCAUUUAUAGAAUUUUGAUUUGCAGAGAGGGGGUGGUACGUGGCAGAGACAAAGUGAAAGGAGAAUGGGGUUGGUCAGCUUACGUAGGUGGCCGUGGAUUAGAUUCCUAUUCCUGUGGAGAAAAAGCCGACCUCAUACUGUACGUAACUUUCUUUUUCCCGGUCAUUUUUUCUUGGCCAUCAAAUUUAUAUGUUUUUGGUGCUUCAUCAAUAAAUUAUUUGGUGAUUAUCAAACAGUGUCAUAUGUCUGUCUUCUUUUCUCGAUCUCUUUACUCUUGCUUAAUUUGUGUUAAGAUUUUUAUUCGUGUCGACUAAUUUGUUAACUUGGCAGCAUAUACCAUUUGAACAAAGACUAUUCAUUUCAUAUAUAGUAAGAAAAUUCUAGGCAUUUGGAUUCUCUUGGGUUAUACCGGGUCUUGGGUAACAUCUCCGAUCGAUUACGAACAAAAUGUUGUUAAUUACUUUCUCCGCUUAUAAACACGUAUGAAGUACUUACGAUACGAUUAUGGGGUAUUUACGAUUUUGUGCAUACUAAAAUGACAAUAAGAUGAAGAUGGAAAUUAAAACAUUUAAUAUACAUUGCAAUAAUUGUUUGAUAAAGACUCACGGAGUCACGUAUUUUCUUAGUUCGAUAUGCAAAAUUUAACAAUUCCGAUGUAACCCGUUCGUGAUAUUUUGGAAUAACAUCAUUGUCAAUUGGCUUAAUUAGAAUGAUCAUUCCCAGCAUACCCAUGUUCAGAGUCAUUUUCGUGGAAGCAAAACUCUAAUGCAAGGGUAAAGCAUGGGAUCCACUAUUCGAAAGUCUGUUCUUGGAGCAAAUCAUGACUGAAAAAAUGCUGCUCGACUUGGGUCCCUCCUUCUACCUAUAGCCUCCAAUGAAAAUGUCAAGAUUUGAGUGGAUAUAUAUAGCAGCUACGUCCUCUCCAUAAAAAUAUUGCUCCUAUAUAUAUAAUUAUAUAUAUCUUCUUAUGAAGUUAUACUUUGCUUCAUUCUAACAUAAUUUCUUUGGACAUUAUGCGCCUUCUUGUAAUUUUUGUUUUCGUCUAAAAAAAUACACAUUUGAGCAGUUUUUUUUUUUUACAAAAGCUUGCUUCUGUGUUAAGGUUCAUGCGGCCAAUCUAACAACAGAACCAUUACAAACCAAAAACAAGAGGAAAGGAAAACUAGCAACAAAUUAAGAAUUAUAGAGGAAGUUGAAUUGCUCUAGCUACCCAAACUGAUUGAGGUUCAUUUAGUUUGAAUUGAGAUUGCCCAGGAACCCAAGUCGAUCACGAUCAAGAUCGAUACACUGGUUAUGAAUUUUUCUUAAACAAGCUUUACUCCUAAACCGAAAACAAAGUAAGGAUUAGCAUGGAUAAUGAAACCGUAACACAAAAUGGUAAAGGCUAAGGGUGUGGCAUUGAAAAGUGACAAGUCGAUGGAAAAGCUUAUAUGGACAUCCUUGUCUUGUUGCUCGAUUAUGUCAUUCAUUUAUCCUCCAAUUUGAACAUGUAACGGGGUCCUACGACGUUAGCCUCCAAAGCGAUUGUGCUUUCUAUCGUAAUCUUAAUCUCCCACAAUCCUCAGCACCUCUAUCUCCAAAUUAAAUUCCAAUAAUGAAUAAUUAAUUUGCAUGACAUUUGAAAAACAAAGGUGCCGCGGGCAUAUCGAUCCCACCUCUAUCUCCUUAUCCUCUACGAGAGAGAGAAUCAAACAUUAGCUACUAGUCUCUGCUACUAUGUUUGGCUUAUUCAUUUCCCAUAUAUGUAUAUACAUCAUACAUCAGCAUCCCACUUGAAUUCUAAUACUUCUAUUAAGGUGUAGGUCCGCAGCUCCCAAUUAAGAAAUUGGAGAGAUCAGGGUCGACGACUCAGUUGCUUCAAAACUAUUUUCAUUGGAUGAACAUUAUCUGCAGCCUGUUCCGAUCUGAUGCGCGCAUAAUCUAAUUAUUUUAGGGUCUCUUCAUGUUAAUAGGAUAUAAUGUAUAUAGUCAUUCUAUUUUCAUUUAUCUUUUGUUUUUUGUUUUUCAAUUCUACAAGUAAUUAACGAAUGCCGAAUAUGUAUUGUAACCUCUUACUUACAAAUGAGAUAUUCUUGUUACUAUAUAUUUGGUAUUUAGACAAUAGCUUAAGAGUUUUGUACUUCUUUAAACUAUAUAUAGCUAGCAUUUGUGUGAAUGAAAACAACCUUACUAUAGCUAGUAUUACGAGACAUGGAAAUACUAGAAAAAAAGAUAUAUGUCAAGAAAAUCCUUAAUUAGCAAAACAAAUUGAAUUCAUGUUCGAAAAUGUGGAUUUACAUGCAAUGUAUAGUAUAUAUGAUACGCACGCAUGCCACUAUCCUUGUUCAUCUAGUAAUAUUAUCCAUCCGGAGAACAAGUAUUAAUGGAUGCUGCACUCACUAUCUUCUAUGUCUCUGGCUCUCUGCUUCUUCCUUGUUCCAUAAAAACUAAAACAACACUUUUACAGUUGCACCGGUAUGUUUAGCAAUCGGGAUAUUCUUAUAGACGAAGUUGGCUUCCCGAUCUCUUUUGAUAUGUGUCAUGGUCCCGCAAAGGACGCCUGUAAACGGCGAUCGAUGCUGACUGGUAAUUAGGGCAAACCAGCCAAGUGGGUUUGGGGGUGGUAGCGAUGGUGGGCUGUCGUCUUGUUCCGAUUUCAAAAGCGUGUCGUGAGUCACUCGUGUCGCCACCGCUACACCAGGUGGCAAGGAAGCUCUCGGCCUCAAGCUAUCUUGAAUCUCUUCCAGUUUUGUGGCUCACACAUAAUCACGUACACAGAUACCUAAAUAUUUGGUAACCUCUGUAUACCUGAUCGAUGAUUAGACAAGAUUGUUACCGACCUGUUGGGUCAGGACCAUGUUUAUGGAACCCUAGCCGAUAUCGGAAUCGGUUUCUAUGGCCACGGCAGAUUGGAAUGUGGGAAAAUUAUUAUUUGUACUCGGAAUACCACCUAUUUUAUGUUCCUAUUUAAUCUCAUUAGUCCACGUGUUUUAUCCUUAUUUCUGAUUGGUGUCCGUGGCUUGGUUGGUUAAGGUGUUUAACUGACAACUUUGAGGUCAUUGGUUCAAACCUCAUUGACGUAUGUAGGGUGUGUGAAUUAUUAAUAAAAAGUUAAAAAAAAAAAAAAAAGAAUUGGUGUAUUUAAUUACUUUUUUUUUUUUUCCACCCUAUGCUGGUCCCCACAUGAAUCUGAGUUAUAUGAUUGGCCGGGUACAACACCUGACAGUGUCACGUGGUGUUCCGGGUACAGAGAAUAAUUACUCAUGUGAAGCUCAGCAUGCGUCUAGCAUGUGUAUCAUACACGUAUCAGCCACGUAGUUAUGUGUGUGAUUUGAUUUAGUUUGGUUUGGCGUGCUCCCAAUUAUGUGGGAAUUGGUAAAUUAAGUGAUGGGGCUGGGGUAGGGGUGGACCUGGAGCUCUUCCGUCGUGAAGCGGCGGAAGGAAUAUAUAGUUGUUAUCGGGCAGUGAAUUGAAGGUUGAGAAUUUUCAAUAUGAAGGAAACUGAUGCAGAAAUACUCGAAAGCUAUUGGAAGGGAAAUAAUGGAUUCACUAAUGGAUGUUAAUUAGCAUAUAUAAAUUGUCUUUCUACUGCAUUGGUGUAGCUCAAAUACAUGUUAAGAUAAAGUGUGAAAUCUCUACUACAAUAAAGCCGGGCGUUUAACAAAUUCAUCAAAAUGUGAACUGUCAAUUUUGCCCAGCUAUCACAUUAUCCUUACAACCAAACACAAAGGUUAUUAUGGUAAAAAGAUUAAAAAAAAACAAAAUAAAAAAGUAAGCUAGAUAAAAAAUGAGAUAACUGAGAAGACAAAAGUGGGAAAGAGAUAACUGCAACGGGUUUCGUUAUAACUGCCAAGAAACUUCUCAGUCCCCACUACCCACUAACUUCAUAAAAUGAAAAAAAAAAAAAAAGUUAACAAAUGAGAAAAAAAAAAACUAUCUACUGAAAACGUUUUCGACAUGCGAGUAUCGCGGGUAUAGAGUGUGAAAUGUUAAAUAGUGGCUCAAUAGUUUUUGUCCAGUUGGAUGUACAUACUCUCCAUUUGAGGUUCGAAUUGUGAAGCUAUUAAAGUGGUCAGACAUUCAUUGUGUUGCAAUGCAAAGUUGAAAUGCGCUAGGGGAUAGUGGUCGAAAGUUCUAUAUGUUGAAACCAAUUCCAUCCUUUGGCCUUUUCCAUUGAAACCCUCAAUUUCAUCCUCUAGCCUUUUCAAUUUUGAUCCGAUUAGAUUAAACGCUCAUAAUAAGAUAACAUUAUCUUCGACAUCGGGUCCUCACCUCAUGUGUUUGAAACAUUUGGACUAGUUUUUUGGGUUUCAGUGUUGUUAACGGCGUUCGCAUAUAUACAUGUGAUAAGGUCACGUGGAUAGCUAGAUCAUAUAUAAGACUGAGAUUGUAUAUUAAUUGUUCGGUUCAUUUACACUUUGGUGCCUACAAAAAUUUACUAAAUGUGUGCUCGAAAAUUCUAUAUGCUUCGAAGCUAGCAUACAUAGUUGCAAUACAUCGUAAUUCUUUUUGAGUCGGGGUACCAUAUAUCAUAUUAUGUAAAGAAAACAUAUGUGAAAUUACGCAUUGCAUUGCAUGUAUUGAAAUAUCGCAUAUAUAUUCUCUAUGUGGAGGGCAAUGUGAAGAAGGGAAGUAUAAUUAAUAUUCCAAAGUUAUAUUCGUCUCUCAUCUCACCAAAGCAUUGAAAAUUGGUGAGAGUGAAGUGAAUAAGAUUUUAUACCAAAAUCUGUACUUGAAAAUGCUAUAUUCUCCAGCUUUCAAAGUGGUCGAUUAGGUUUCGAAAAGUUCAUGAAACAUUGGAUCAAGUCGGUCACUAAAACAACGAUAAGUAGUUAGUCGAUCGAACAUGAAAAAUCAACUUGACGGUGAGACCAAAUCCGGGCAUCGUCCCCACAGCUUUUUCCGAUGAAAUGAAGGGUCUAUCUUGACGAGGAAUCAAAGUGAUUUCCAGAGAGCAAGAGAAACGAAAAGGAAAAAGCGAAAAGGGCAAAAGGGUAGAUGACAUUGCAUACCAUGAACAUCCAAAACCGUCCAAAUUAAAUCAAGGAAACUGAUCCAUCGAUCUAUAUAUAUAGGUUUGUAUUGGAUGCCCGACUUUUUUGACCUAGAUACAUCACUCCAAACAAACCAUUGGUUUUCAUGAAAUGGUAAUGGCUGUUGCUAGAGCCUCAAGAGUCGAGAUAUGCUCUGAUCGUGUAAUAUAUAUGCUAAUUUGAAAUUGUUUUCUACUUUAAAAGAAAAAAAAAAACUAAUAUGCAAUAGAAACUCGAAAACGCAUAUCUAGAUACAAAAGUUUAGAAAAACCGGAUCCGAACUGUUCAAAAUUGAAAACUCGAAAACGCAUUUCUAGAUACAAAAGCUUAAGAAAAUCGGAUCCGAACGGUUCGAAAUCGAUUCAAGUUUGGAUUAAUUUACCGCAACUGGAUCCAUGCAAGGGACUACCAUACCACCACCACCUACACUUAGCCGUUGCAGAGAGAUAAUGACCGAUAUUUACCAAUGCAUCCACCUAAACUCAAGGUUUUCUCAUUUUAAUUCAGUUCACUACAACAGUAUAGGGCAAAGGUCAGUUGCAAAUCACCUUAUAUGUGACAUUUUCUUUCAUACCCCACCAAUACCUACACUAUUCCCUCAUUUGCUAUAUAUAAGGUGAUUUGUAACACCUCUAAAGGCCAAACACCUCCACACAAGAUGUGUGGCAUUUGCCCAUAUUGUUGUAGUGGUUGUAUGUUACGCAUAUGCUUAAGAAGUCAAUCAUAGGGGACCUAGAAAGUGAAUGGAGACUUGGGAGCUAGUGUUAGAGUGUUACUUAGUCUAUACGUUAAGCUAAUUAAUGCAUAAGAACAAAAGUCGAUUCAGAUAUUUCUGGAACAACAAAGAGAAGUCGAUUCAGAUAUUUUGCAACAGAAGCUUUUGAACUCUGAAAUAUCUCUCUCUUCAUAUGUCGGUCGUGCUGUUAAAUUUCACCUAACACAGGUUGCUGGCUUUACCAGGCCCUACGUGAUAAAAGAUGAUGGAUCCUAAAGUGAAUUGCUCGUACGGGCUUGGUCUGCAUGUCUUGUUCGUGCGGCCCAAUUAUCCAAGGAUCUGGCCCACGAUAAUUGAGUGUGUUGCACUUUUCUUUUAAGGGGGGUGUAUUGUAAUUGGAUUCAUACAGACUAAUUUUAAUCAAUUGACUUUUUAAAAAGUCUAUAGACUCUUUGAAAAGUUUAUAGACUUUCACUGAUUUCUUAAAACCAUCGAUUUUUAAUCACAGACUUUAACUGAUUUCUGAAAUCUACAGAUUUCAUAUGAAUGACUUAUGUAGAUUUCUUAAUACUUACAGAGUUACAUAAAAGGAAAAAUAAAAAUAAAGAUGCAAUGACAAACACAUAAUAACACCGAUUAUAAGUUUAGUGCUCAUCUAUCUAAUUUCGAUACAUACCGUUGUAAUAUUUGAUUGAAAUACAUAAACAUAAGUAACAAAAAAAAACUAUAUUAACUUAACAACACGCAUACUUGUACGUUAACUAAAGACACAUAUUCUAAAGUGGGACAUUAGAUGUUCACAGUUUAAUUCAUGUACUCUAAUAUAAUAAUAUAUGAUCAUGUGGUUCUAAUAUCAAGAGUUAGUAUAUAACAUUUAGGUUAUCGAGGGUUCCAAGCAUUACAAUUGAAAUACAACAAAAUAUUAACAUUCAAAAAACAUUGAAAAGAAUAGGUAGAAUAGAACAUUGAUAGCACAAAAUAUUAUAAAAAAGAAAAAAAAGAUGAUGUAUUGUGGGAUCAACCUAUUCACAUGUAAAGAGAAAGUCUAUCGUAGACUUUUCUAAAUCUUUGCUCUAGUGGAUGAAAAAAUAUUGGAGUUUGGUGUGUGUAAUUUACACUACAAAGUCCAUAAUUAUCCAUGAGUUAUUAAUUCCAUAAGUAUGAAUGAUAUUUUGAAUACAUCUGAACUUCUAUUCAUUUUAAAAAGUCUUAAUUGAAUACCUCUGAACUUUGGUGGAAUUCAUAAUGAUUUUUUAAAAUCUAGUUGAAUACACCCAGACUUUGAUAGAUUUUUAAAAGUCUGUAUUGAAUACACCUAAACUUUCAAAUUCCAUAGACUUCUUUAAAACUUCCACUAAUUCCAUAUACAAUACACCCCUCUAAGAUUUUCAUUGAUAGACUAUGCAUCAAACGUUAAGAAAUUGUGUGAUGGCGUUAAACUCCCACCUAUCAAAUGUUGGGUCAAUUUGGAAUUUUUGUCGAAUGCAUUUUCAUUGUUGAGAAGGUUGAUUUGGAAAGUGCACACAUACAAUAAUGCAAGUAUAAAAUAAGAUAAGCCCAUUACUGUUUGUCAGUAUCCUCACAUUGUAGACCAGAACUGGUUCUCUAUCCACACUCGCUACCGUCAGAACUCGGUGACGAGUCUUCUCCGGCGGUUAGAAGAUAUGAGCUUUUUUGGGCUGCUAGGCUUUAGGUUUGUUUGAUAUUUUUGUUGUUAUGCAUGCCAAAAGACAAAAAGACACACAAACAAAAUCAUGGCAGGUUUAGAAACAAAUCACUCAAAGUCAUAUUCAAAAAGUUUCAAGAUAUGAGUAGAACAUAAACUAAAUAAAACAAAUAUAAUACAUAAAUACGGACAGUCUUGCGCGACGUUUUGAUGCAGGAUACAAUAUGGAUCAUUUAGAACUUAAAAUUAGAUUACAUAAAUACAAAUGCAUGGAGAUCUCCACAUGUGAAUGAUUAAAAUUAUACUAUGUACUUGCACAUUUUGGUACGUCUUGAUGAUGCUACUGGGCCAACAAACGAAAAAACUGCUACAUAUGGUUGGUUCAAUCGAUCUCUAGUUUGAAUGCAAAACCAAACCAAAAUACGUAUUCCCAGUUUGCUUUCCUCCUCAAGCAUAUACUGGACUUUUCAAACUGGGCUGAUGCGCGCUUCUGUUCUCGUCCCUUCAUGCUUUUGAAGCUCAGUUAUUCCCUCAAAAGAGAAAUUUCUUUCUGUUUGAGCCCUAGAGGUUUGUUUUGGUUAGAAGAAGAAGAGCCUAGCUUGGAGAUUCUUUUGCCUCUAGUUUGUCCAAAGCUUAAAUCCCCAGUAUUUGUUCUACAGCAUUAAAUUUAACAUCCUCCUUGCAAAUAGACCAAAGUUGGACCCGACCCAUCACUCUACCUAGCCUUUCCAUAUGGAUAAUGGUGUUAGAUUCUUCUUCCUCAAUUUUUUUUCUUCAAAAUUUCAUAUAUUUUUUCAGUAUUGACCAGGGAAAUACACGAGUGGUGAUCACCACUGAGAAGUCUCUCUUGAAGUACAAGCACCACUCGUUCUAAAUCGAACCAAAACAAGUAGCCAAAUCCAUUCCCCAUCUCCCUUUCUUUCCACCAAAAAAAAGAAAAAAAAAUUCAUAUAUCCAAUUCCAAAAUGCACACUCCUCCUCCUUUGCUCUACCACCACCACCUACCAUCUCCUCCCCUUCUUCUCCAUAUUCCAUGGCCAAGAAUCCACCUGAAUAAUCCCCUAGUGAUUCUUCUUCACUCUGUCCCUGUUACUCACCCUAGCUCACUUUCUUCACCUAACCAUGAUUCCCUCUUACUGCUUAUCAUCUUCAAGAAACCAAGCAUUGCUUCUCCACAGCUCUCAUCUCUACCUCCCAAAACACAGACUUUGUGAAUCCCAGUACUUUCCCAAAAAGGAAACAAACUUCCUCAAACCCAAGUCUUCUUUCUUCCCCAUCUUGAGGCUAAAUAACUCCAAACUUACACACCCUUUUGCCUUAUCUUCAUUCGCAGAAGGCGAAGAACACGAACAAAAAGAAGUUCAAGUGAAUCAAGAAACCUCAAAAACCGAUGAUGACGAGCGUGGAAUGGCUCAGGCCUUCCACAUAUCUUCCAGAACCGCCAUGGCCAUUUCCUUAUGCAUAGCAUUUGCUGCCCUUUCUCUUCCCUACUUCAUGAAGUCCUUAGGACAAGGCCUGCCCUUGAAGACCAAGCUGUUGUCUUACGCAACCCUACUGUUCGGGUUCUACAUGGCUUGGAAUAUUGGAGCCAAUGACGUGGCGAAUGCCAUGGGGACUUCGGUCGGCUCGGGGGCGUUGACUCUCCGGCAGGCCGUGGUGACCGCCGCGGUGUUGGAAUUCUCGGGGGCGUUUCUGAUGGGGACUCAUGUGACGAGUACAAUGCAGAAAGGGAUUCUGGUGGCGAAUGUGUUUCAGGGGAAAGAUUCUCUGCUUUUUGCUGGCUUGCUUUCUUCUCUUGCUGCUGCUGGUACUUGGUUGCAGGUAAUAUAUUGCUUCUUCCUUCCUCUGUUUUCUAUUUAGCUCAGUUAUCAAAUUAUCCCAGUAAAUUUCGUUCUUGUUCUUCUUAGAAAUUUCACGUCAGCAUUAACAUACUGAAUUACCAUUCUGCAUGGAAAUGCAAAUUAACAGUACACAAUGACAUGUAUAAUUACAAGAUUACUCAGUGGAUCGGACAUAGACACAUAGUACAUUUCUUAACAGUUUAUACUAGGAAGAAUGAGAUUGUAGAAAGCUAGGAAUGGAUUAAUUUUGUAUGGAUCAUGAAGGAUAUGGAUAUAUAGAAUCUGGGAAAGAUAAGUGGGUCCCCCGUGCUGAUAUCAGGAAUAUUGCUUUGGCCUAGUUGGCUAGGCACAUCCGCAUUGGCAGCAAGAAGCCAAGAAGUUGAGGAGAAUAUUUAUUUCUCUUGUUAAAUCUUUGAAGACAUUGGAUGUGAAUUGUCCAGUAGUUUGGUUUUUCCAAAGUGGCAUACAUGAGUCAAACUAAUCAACCAAAGGAAAUAGCAUAUAUAGAAAUAGAAAUUAUUAUAUGUACAACGUGUAUUUACACGACACAAUCUUAACCGUUUAUAACAAUUCAUAUGUUUGACCAUCAUGUUUUUAUAUUAUUUUCUCUAAUCCUGACCAUCAAUGUAUAUAUGUGAAGAUACACAUCGUAUAUUGAAGAUGCUCUCAUAUAGAAUAAGAAUUUCCAUAUAAUGAGUGAUAGAAGUGAAGAACAAAUGCCAAAGUGCCAAACUGUAUCCAGUCUACAACCAUUUUAGAACACUUGUUUCUAAUAUAUGUGUGAGCAAAUAGAAUAUUACUGAGAGAAAAUCCUCGGGGGUUUUUUACUUUUUGAUGCAUUUUGAAUGUAUAUCUCCGUAGAAGUAUGCUUGCAUCAAUUUACAUGUUGUUUCUUUGAUUCUUGCUUUGCAAUCCAUGAAUAAUUGUUUUCUGCUAGUCAGGUUGCAUCAUACUAUGGCUGGCCUGUGUCAACAACACACUGUAUAGUAGGAUCAAUGGUUGGAUUUGGAUUGGUCUAUGGUGGAGCAGGUGCCGUAUUCUGGAGCUCACUGGCAAGAGUGAUUUCUUCAUGGGUUAUCUCACCAUUCAUGGGAGCACUGGUCUCCUUCACCGUCUACAAAUGCAUCCGUAGGGUAUGUUCUCCUUCCUUGGAGAUGACAGUCUCAAAUGGUCUACUGCCCUAAAAUCAUAUUUCGUUAUGCCGUUGGCUUAUGAUAACAUAAACAACUUAACUUAUUACCUGCUAAUCAAUGGUCCUUACAAGGAAAAAUUCCACAUGUAAGCUAAGAGUGAAAGACAUUUUGUACUUCUAGAUUCUUAGUUCGUACAACCCUUCUUACUUUUUCCAAUGUGUUUUCAGUUUGUCUAUAGUGCUCCAAAUCCCGGACAAGCUGCAGCUGCGGCAGCACCGAUUGCUGUGCUUGUGGGUGUAACUGCAAUCUCAUUUGCAGCGUUUCCCCUUGGAUCAAGCUUGCCGUUGGCAGUGGCAAAGGCUCUAGGCUGUGGAGCUGCCGGUGCUCUACUUGUGUCCAGAGUUAUUCAAGGGCAGCUCGGUGAUCUCCUUCUCAAGUCGAAAUCCUCAUCGCACACAGAAUCAACAGAUGUCCACAAAGAUAUCGGGUUUCUCUCUGAUAUUGCAGGUCCAACUGGUACUCAGCUGAAAAUAGUAUACGGGGUGUUUGGAUACAUGCAGAUACUCUCAGCCUGCUUCAUGUCAUUUGCUCAUGGUGGCAAUGACGUCUCCAAUGCAAUAGGUCCUUUGGCUGCUGCAUUAUCUAUCCUGCAAGGUGGUGCUGCUGGAGCUGACAUUGUUAUUCCAACCGAUGUUCUAGCGUGGGGAGGUUUUGGAAUCGUAGCUGGUCUUACAAUGUGGGGAUAUAGGGUUAUAGCAACAAUUGGGAAGAAGAUCACAGAACUGACACCGACUAGAGGAUUUGCAGCUGAGUUUGCUGCAGCCUCUGUGGUUCUGUUUGCGUCUAAGCUGGGACUACCCAUCUCUGCAACUCAUACUUUGGUGGGUGCAGUAAUGGGGGUCGGAUUUGCAAGGGGGCUUAACAGUGUUAGAGCAGAAACUGUGAGGGAAAUUGUGCUUUCUUGGGCAGUGACAAUUCCAGCUGGUGCUUUCUUUUCUGUUUUGUACACAUGGAUCUUGACCAAGCUGUUAUCCUAUGUUUUGUGAGUGUUGUAGUGAUGAACUGAUGAUAUAGAAGUGUUGAACAGCAGAUGUACGUCUUUUAUUGAAAAAAACAUACAUCUACUUCUUUUGAAAUUGAUCUGUAAAAUCGAUGAUCCUUCUUAAAUGUUCUCAAAGCCUUGAUCUCUUUUUAGUAUCUGUACUAUGGCAUUUCUAAUCUAGCAUUUAAACUAUGAAUCAGGGAUGACAUGACUGUUGAUUAACAAAUGCAGCUCAAGUGCAGAUAUAAAAUGCAAACACCAUAUGAAGUAUUCCAGUUAUUAACAAGCUACCUAUUACAAAAAUUUGAUUCAAUUUCCCAUUAAGUGUUUCUCAUACAUACAUCUUUUCCUGCGCGCUCCGGCUGCACGUUCAAUAUCAGGAAUGGUUCCCUAUAGAAGUCAACAUACUCGAUCAUUCUGUAAUGCUUUAAGUUUAUUCUCAUGUUCUCGUUAGGUACUUGAGUCCUCUUUAGGUUUACAACCAUGUUCUAUGUCUCCUUACUUCAUUACACUCUUUAUCUAUAAAUUUGACAAUUGAGGGCUGGUAAGCUAUAUAUAAGGGCUAGCAUGCUCAACAUCCUCAUACGCUAGAUAACAAGAAGUUGUAUAUGGUGGGAUUCUUUCAUAAGUUUACGAUUUUCUUCGUCGGUGAAGUUAUAUAUGGAGGGAUUCUUUCAUAAGUUUACAAUUUUCUUCGUCGGUCUCCUAUUUCUAAUGGUAUAAUGAUUAUCUACAUUCUUCUGAUGUUUGCUUAUUGUAUUAAUCUCUAUUACUAGCUAGAUAGACAUGAUAUUUUUGUGUGUUUUUAAUGUAGGGACAAUGCCAAAUGCAAACACAAUUUGGCUGCCAAAAUAUACACCAACACGCGAAACUCGUAACAAAAAGUUCCACGGAAUACUAGAGAUAGGGACAGAUGUGUCUCUCUUUGCCGAAACGAGGGAUUCGAUAGCGGCGACUGUUGCGGUCGCAGUAAAUGUUUCUGCAUAAACAGGGAGAUCAAAGGAGUUACCAACCAUGGAACUCUAAUAUCAGAUCAAUUUAUGAUUCUAUGAACAAUGGUGAUUAAUCAGUUGAUGAUUGUGUUCUAAAUAAUUAUCAAGUGACGUUCUAAAUAAUUUGAUGAUUAUCAAUUAUAAUCUAAGGAGGAUGACCUACUACUCUUUCUCUCACACUGAGCCCAUCUAGUGUCUCACAUUACACACAGAAUGUGGAUUCCUUCUGGAAACACAUAACCGGUUGGUCCAUCGAUCUCGUAUUCUCGUUGUCCUUUUAUUGAUAUCGUUAAAGAAACGUUUCAGAUUUAGAAAAUUAUAGAGAGUUUCAUCUCGCUCUCUAUAUUUAGAGAGCAAGAUAGUUAAAAUAAGCUGGAAAUGGUAUACGUAUUAUUAUGUAUAAAUGUUUAGGUGCAUUUCUCAGACUUUUCAUCUGAUAUAGCAAUUCAGUUACGUACCAGACUAUCAAAGCCAUAUCAGAAAGUCAUGGAGAGACUUCUUCUUGUACAGACGUGAGAUUAGGCUCCCAUCCGAACCCUUUACCUGAUCUAACCUUUGGAAGGGGGAGGUACAAACGACUUCUUUCCUCUAAUUCCCCUCCUGCGUGAAAAUUUUGAACUCUUUUCUUCCCCUUACGAAUCUGCAGUGAUCUAUCCACCCAGAAUCAUCUCUUCAUCUUCUUCAUCUUGUUCUUUGGCCUUCACCUUAUUCUGUUGUUUACGCUCAACUUUCUGUACUGUUGUACAUGUUAUCAUACUGUUAUAUAAUACUUGUGACCAGGCAAUAGGCUCCCCUCUGGCCUUAAAAAGGACUCCUGAGGCUUUUUGAAAACAUCUGGGCGGGCAACACAUUUCCCAGGAUACUUGUCCAUCAGCAGAGACGCCUGCAUUCAGAAACAGUUCCUCUUGCCCACCUGCAUGAACUAUCCUCACAAGAAAACUUUUGGACUGUGUACUCACUGUACUGUAGUCCAACGAUAAGGAAAGCAGGAGCUAGUUUGGCAUCUCCUCUGGGCAGCUUGUUUGAUGUGUUAACCAAUGUGAAACUCUAAUGAAUAUAAUAAAGCAGCAACUAGGUCUCAGAAUGUAUUUACCAAUUCACAGUUGUGCCUGACACAUCCUUGUGCUAGUAUCAAAGUCCCAUAGGCCAGAUAAUACCUGUCUUUCUAGCUUCUUCAGCCUCCCACUGAUCCAAUUGUUAUGGAGUACCAAACAUCCCUGUUUCACACAGGCUGCUCUCACAUUUUUUCUCUGCCAAAGGCCUAGAUAUGCCCCGUUUGGGAAGAGAUCUCUAUCCAAGAAAUGGACAGUCAGGUUUGUUUCAGGUUCUAAGCAUCUAUUGUUACCCACACGAUAGGAGCCCCCUUCUCCACAUAGUGUGUCAUAGAAGCUUGGCUGUUCAGAUAGACCCGAACUUGCUGCAUGUGCCACCACCUUCUUCAUAGCAGCAAUUGUUGCACUAUCUGAACGGGCAAAGUAGAAGCCAGAGUUCAAGCGUCUAGGUAAGUUGAUUGGUCCUGCAUAGAAAAAAAAAUACCAGAGGCGAUCAGCACAUUGGAUUAAUAUACCAAUGUGAUGGCACAUUGGUGAUAUCAUAACUCAUCCGUUCAUCCAAACAUGCUCUGCAUAUAAAAAAUCAGAAAAAAGAAACCAAAUUGAUUUAAAACAAUUUACACCUAAACAGUACAAAAAUCUAAUAUACCAAUUUCUUUUUCUCUUGAUGUAUAGUUGUGUACCACUGAGAAAGAAGAAGGAUUAUGAAUACAAAAAGCACCUGUUUUGUUGAAUUCAUCCGACUGAGCUGCAAGAACAGCAGGACCAAAAGACGAGAGCAAUGCCAAUGGAUUUUCAAACCAAUAUACAUCCACAUCACUAAGCAGUACACUGUAACCCAUCUUCAGUAUCUUUAGAACCAUUCUGGACUUCACUUUGGUCACCUUCUGAAAACAUUUUGUUCCGAAGUGGCAAUCAUUGAAGCUUAUCUCACUCGGAGCAACUGGAUCCCGGAACACAGGCAGGCCCUAACAGUUGAGAAAAUAGAUAGUCAAAUAAUGUACCACAUUUGGUGAUUUGGAGAUCACUCUACAAGAUAGACGAGCUUCACUUUUUAAAUAGAAACUCUUUAUUUUCACAUCUGCUAUCCAAGUUUCACUCUCCUUUGAAUCAUAUGCAUGUAAAUGAUGAACUGCUGAUAGUGCUUCCAGUAGAAGUGGACAUAUUCAACAUAAACAUGAAGAUAACUAAUAACUAAACAAAGAAAUAAUCAAGUUUAAGUAAACUACCAUCAAGACAGAGAAUUCGUAGAUCUCCUGGUCGAGGGCACAAAUGAUAAAAUUUGUGAUCUGUAGGUGGCGCAUUCGACACACCCAGCUCAUUAGCAUGUCCUUGUAACUAUAUCCAGCAGCAGCAAGCACAAUUGUCUUAUUUUUGUCUGCGUUUAAUUCUAGAAGUGUCUCCAAAGAAAAUGGAUAGUCAAAUGGUUCUGAACUCGUUGUGGGAACCAUGGGAGUGCAAUCUAAUAAAUGGCCUUGUGAUUUGACACCCUCAACCAAAGCCAAACUUUUCUUCUUCCACCGGGAACCCAAGCCAGCACGUCGAUAUGCAGAUGAACAAAUGUUUCCGGUUUUGUUAACAAAACUAUAUUGGCCAUCACAUUUCAAAAGUUUAACUAGGCUAGAGUAAUUAGUUUCAUGAUGAGACAAUGACCCAUAUAAUGCACCAAGAUGAAAGUUUCCGGCAUAUUCCCAGUUUCUUCUUUCAAAAAUGGAAGCAUUGGAAGCUCCAACAGUCCAGUUAUUCAGAUGCCCCUCACCAAUCAAAUAUAAGCUUGAGAUUGUCCAACUGGCAUCAAACACAAACCUGAGCUCCGAUGACAAGGCCUCAUUAGUGACCCAACUAUUGUGCACCCCCCUACCAUACAAAAAAGGAGGAAGGACUCCAGAAUAUAGGGCAAGAUCUCCACUAUUCCAUGCCAUAAGCAGUUUCUGUUCACAGGGAGUUCGCUGCCAACUCUGACGGAUUAUCUCCUGCAACUGAUGGAAGAGAGAACAGUAUCAACAGAGUUAUCUUGAAAGGACCAUUAAAAUUUCAGUCUACAAUAUGCUGUUUCAUACCUUAUGUGUUCUGAUCGAUUUGCCAUCCUUCCUUUGCCAAUGCUUUCCAUCCUCAUCCAAGUAGAAUGGGAAGUAGGACACAUUUUGUGAUGAAGCAACUAGAAGCCAAUCAUCAUCAAGAUUGUAAGCAUAAUUCAGGGUGGAAAUGAAGUCAGGUAAAACAAUUGUUUCUGGAUCAACCAGAACAGAUAUGUCUGGUGAAAAAGACCAUGUUCUUGCCAUCAUCGAAUGAAAAAAUGGGGUACCGAGGAACCUAGACCCACAUAGACAUGUAUCAGAUGGCAAUAAAUAUAUGACAUUUUAGCUCUAAGCCUCUUAUACUACUCGAAGAUUUCCAUGACCCUGAGGCCUGAGAUAGUCCUCAAAAAGACAAAAACCAUCUAAUGGAAGGUACGACUGAUCUGAAGAAAAACCAAAUCCUAUGUUCAAUAGCUAUUAACAUUGCUCAAUUUAAUCAAUUCCGGAACACUCCCUAUCAACAAAUGCCCAAUAACACAAUGCAUCUCCAUUUCCUUUGUAUUUCAGAAAAGCCUCAAGUACUGGAACAAAGCAUACAGAAACCUUUCAGUUUACCAGUUUGUUUUAAUCAACCAAGCUCUAUAGAAAAACAUGCGUUCAACUAAAUGCAUUGCUUUCUACUUAGGUCAUUAGCAGAUUGUUCUCUAAUCAACUAUGCUCUAGAUAAAAUUUUAUAUGCUCAACAAAAUUCAUUGCAUUCAACUAAAGUUAUGAACAAGAAACACAAAGUGAAUGGCUUACGUGAAAUCAAUGCUGCGAUCCACCACAACCCGAGAACCAAGCCCUCCGGCGAAAGAAACAACAGAAGGGUCUUUGCUGAACAGCACAACUCUAAUCUCCGGUGACAAAGCUAGCCAUGAACGAAGAGCCAAACUCUGCCUAACCCCAACAGAACCACUAAACGGCCUCGGCGCCGAGAAUAUAAUAAUUCUCGGCGGCUCUGAAACGCCGGCAACUCGUUGACUGGAAGUUGACCUCGUGAUCUGAUCCUUGAGGGAAGGUAGCCUCUGAGUGGCAUAGAAGGAGAAACCAAUCAACGCAAACCCACAUAGCCAAACUGACCAUAAACCCGAGACUCCUCCUCGAAAUGCCUGUAACAACAUAAAGAAAUUUAGCUUCUUGUUCAUGUGUUAAAAACAAGAGUAAGCAAGCAAACAAAAUCGAAAAUGUAAGAAGCAGAAGUGGACCUUCUUCAUUGUACUUGUUAAAGAACAAUGAACAUAAUGGUGGGUUUGUUUUGUUUAUAUAUGAACUGAGCUUGGUUUGGUAGCAUUUGGAUUUGAGAAGAGAGAGAAUGUAAAGAAUGGAACUUUAACUGAAGAAGAAGAAGAAGAGUUGCAGGAGUAACGAACACACCAGCUUUGCUCUAACCAAAGACAGCGGCCGUCACAGCGGGGAUUCAUGUGAGGUUUUGUCUUCUUCUACACGUCAAAUUCCAUUUCCAAAAACUUCACCGACCUUAUUCCACAUUCUACGAGCUCAAGGUCAACGAAACCAUGCGCUGCUACUUACGACGCCGUUUUCACUUUGAAAUCCGAAUACCAUAUAAUAUUCUAAUCAUCUUUGUGUGUAUUUUUCAAUCCUUGUUCGUUAAUCUUCCAUUGUAUAGAAAUAAACUAAAGUACUAAACAGACUUUUAUAACAUCAUUUUCGGGAUCCAUAACUACGAAGUGUAAUACCCAUUUGCACAAAACACUAUUAGAACGACCUUAAGAGCAGUAAACACGAAAUUGUAUCGAUCAAAACACAACAGCUCAUAUGGAUCGUGAUGCUACAAAACUGUAUCGAGUACUUCCCACGGAGAUCAUAAGCCGCACAUGGAAAACCUGCCUCUUAAGGGUGUGUAUGCUAUAUCUCGGAGACUGAUUGGAUCCACUCAACAAAUACACCUACAUCGUAUUCAGAUGUAUGGCAUUCAACAGCAGUAGCUGUGUAUAGUGCACCAGAUUUCUGUGUGGAACUCAUGCCAAUGCUUAUCGAGGCUUGAAAGCCUUCUGAACAUAACUCUGGAACUUGACUCGUAGGAUCUGAC
rnacentral:lncRNA from 1 species